UAAUACAGUGGAGGGGGAAGAAGCUACUAGAUUGUCCCCGCAGCAGCAUGAUCCGCAUGCCGUAGCCAGGGAGCAGGAGUCAUGAGCAGUUGGAGAGGAGGUUAUAAUAGGGGCUGCUGGUGCGGCAGUUAGGGGAAGAGCCAGGAGCCCUGUGAGGAGUGAGGAGGCCAGAGUAGUGCGCAUCGUUCACUUGUUGGUCAACAUAACGGUAGCGGGCGGCGCAACAGAGGAGUGGCAGAGGACCGGGUGAUCACUUACCAGUGAAGGAGGUGAUUCCCCGCUGACAUCGGUGAGGUGUUGGAGUCGCUGGCAGCGGGAGUUUGUGUAGAGAGGGAGGAGAGCUGUCAGGCUGUCAGGUCGUUGUCAUGGCAGCCCUGCCCGAGGACCUGUUAGGAAACUGGAACAUGGAGAUUAUGAUGAACAGGGAGAGUGCGGAACAGCUAUUAAGAAUAGAUGAAUGCUCACAUGGGAGAAUGCAUGAAUAAGUCAGAGGCAAAGCUGGUUUCUGAAUAACAUCAGGAGAUCAUUUUCUCUCUUAACUCCUCUUAAUACAUCCGUUAAAAAAAGAGAAUGAAGGAUGUCAGAUCAAACACAA